GCUUACUAUUUAUCAGCAUAUAUCUAAACACAUAACAAUACAGAAAAGAUUAGCACGGCCCCUGUGCAAAGAUGACAUGAAAAUUUGUGAAACAUUGCCUAUUUUU